UAUGUUAUCAUCAGGUAUGAUGUUUAAUAACUGUGUUAUCAUCAGGUAUGAUGUUUAAUAACUGUGUCAUCGUCAGGUAUGAUGUUUAAUAACUGUGUUAUUGUCAGGUAUGAUGUUUAAUAACUGUGUUAUUGUCAGGUAUGAUGUUUAAUAACUGUGUUAUCGUCAGGUAUGAUGUUUAAUAACUGUGUUAUCAUCAGGUAUGAUGUUUAAUAACUGUGUUAUCAUCAGGUAUGACGUUUAAUAACUGUCAUCGUCAGGUAUGAUGUUUAAUAACUGUGUUAUCAGGUAUGACGUUUAAUAACUGUUUUAUUGUCAGGUAUGAUGUUUAAAAACUGUGUCAUCGUCAGGUAUGAUGUUUAAUAACUGUC